rnacentral:rRNA from 1 species
AGGACGAACGCUGGCGGCGUGCUUAACACAUGCAAGUCGAACGGAAAGGCCCUUCGGGGUACUCGAACGGCGAACGGGUGAGUAACACGUGAGCAAUCUGCCUUCAGCUUUGGGAUAACACUUGGAAACAGGUGCUAAUACCGGAUAUGACCUUGGACCGCAUGGUUUGGGGUGGAAAGUUUUUCGGCUGGAGAUGAGCUCGCGGCCUAUCAGCUUGUUGGUGGGGUAAUGGCCUACCAAGGCGACGACGGGUA